GUAGUCGUGGCCGAGUGGUUAAGGUGAUGGACUAGAAAUCUAUUGGGAACUUCCCGUGUAGGUUUGAAUCCUACGGACUACG
rnacentral:tRNA from 1 species